rnacentral:sRNA from 1 species
CCGUAUCUAGCCCGACGGGGCGAAAAGCGGGGAAGCCUUACCCGCCUGUUACGGCGAUACUU